rnacentral:lncRNA from 1 species
AGCCAAUGGAUGAGUCAGCUAUUAUCUAAACGUUUCGUCGAUUCGAAAAAGGUACUUUCUAUGGAAAGGCGCGUAAAAAGUGAAACGUCUUUUCUCUCUCCUGUGUCAUCGUCGGGGUUGCCAACUGUCUACUCCCCAUCGCAUCAGGAAACAUUUCACAAAAGGACAAGAUUUUAGACGGAUCUUUCUCUCUCCUACUCUCACGUAUAAAAGGGUUUCUCACGCUCAACUUUACUCUUUUUCCACUCACAAAUAUUCCAAAAGAAAAAGGCGAUUUCUCUCAAUGUUCAUCAUUUUCUUCUCAAGCUUCAUCAAUUGUGGAAUCGUCUUCAUUUCAAGAUACCUCUGUUCACUCCAACCUUCUGACCACUAAGCCACAACAAAACCUCAUCAUUGACCUUACACCAUUCGUCUAUGAACCCUACAUGUUGUACGUGGUAGAAUGUCUCAAAUACUCUCCACUUAUCGAUGCUCUUACAAAGGUGGAAGUGGUUCCCAUGACUUGCCUCUCUCACAUCUAUUCAACCGCUUAUUAUGACAAGGGUGCUGAGAGGAUUCACUUUGACAUUCACAACGAGAAGACCUCUGUUGAGUCUAUUAGAUUGCGUUGUCACACACCAAAACCAUGAACGGCGGAAACGUUCUGGGGCGGAGGACGUCAUGUACAGUAUCACAACAAUGAAAAGUAGUAAACAAGCAAC